GAUGAACGCUGGCGGCGUGCCUAACACAUGCAAGUCGAGCGAACAGACGAGGAGCUUGCUCCUCUGACGUUAGCGGCGGACGGGUGAGUAACACGUGGAUAACCUACCUAUAAGACUGGGAUAACUUCGGGAAACCGGAGCUAAUACCGGAUAAUAUAUUGAACCGCAUGGUUCAAUAGUGAAAGACGGUUUUGCUGUCACUUAUAGAUGGAUCCGCGCCGCAUUAGCUAGUUGGUAAGGUAACGGCUUACCAAGGCAACGAUGCGUAGCCGACCUGAGAGGGUGAUCGGCCACACUGGAACUGAGACACGGUCCAGACUCCUACGGGAGGCAGCAGUAGGGAAUCUUCCGCAAUGGGCGAAAGCCUGACGGAGCAACGCCGCGUGAGUGAUGAAGGUCUUCGGAUCGUAAAACUCUGUUAUUAGGGAAGAACAAAUGUGUAAGUAACUAUGCACGUCUUGACGGUACCUAAUCAGAAAGCCACGGCCAACUACGUG
rnacentral:rRNA from 1 species